CAGCCGCCGCGGUAAUACGAAGGGGGCUAGCGUUGCUCGGAAUGACUGGGCGUAAGGGCGCGUAGGCGGAUUGUUUAGUUAGGCGUGAAAUUCCUGGGCUUAACCUGGGGACUGCGCUUAAUACAGGCAGUCUAGAGUGAGGAAGAGGGUUGUGGAAUUCCCAGUGUAGAGGUGAAAUUCGUAGAUAUUGGGAAGAACACCGGUGGCGAAGGCGGCAACCUGGUCCUUGACUGACGCUGAGGCGCGAAAACGUGGGGAGCAAACAGGAUUAGAUACCCGGGUAGUCCCUGUCUCUUAUACA
rnacentral:rRNA from 1 species